AGGGUAUAGCUCAGUGGUAGAGCACAUGCCUAGCAAGCACGAGGUCCGGGGUUCGAUCCCCAGUACCUCUA
rnacentral:tRNA from 1 species